UUUAGCCGUGGAGCAGUAUCCUAGUUUGAAUAACACCACGAGGACGGGCCUAAAAAUCCGUUAAAGAGCAUACCUGUGAAACGUCUUGUGCCUGCUUUUUUCGCCCAGAUUAGGGUGGGUGCUGGAUAUGAUGUUUGCUGGGCUUUCUGUAAUGGCAUACAGACUCUUUGACCCAUCAAUACGCUGAGACUUAAGUGCGUGCCUGGCAUUAGACCAUGGUACGGCUUAAGAUUAAACCUACUUUGUGGCUAGCGCUAUGAGUAGUGUAGCUUGCCUUGAGUGAAAGUAUCGGGAUAAUGGAACAAACACCCUAACCUAGGCAUAGGUUAAGUGUUAUUGCCGUUUGAAACUGCUUUUGCAAAAAAGUGCUAGUGGUGAGCUAUUCAUUUGAAGAAAUUUCCUAGGCUGUGACUUUUAUAAAAUUGCGGUGCGUACUAAGUGGUAAUCAAGUAAUGCUUACGGCAACGGAGCAUGCUUUUCCUCAAAUGGGAACGGCCGGAUGGUAACAGAAGGUGGAAAAGUGGGAAAUCCAACUUGACCUAAGACGCAAAGUUUGUUAUAAAAGAUUCCACGUAAUUUU
rnacentral:sRNA from 1 species